UACAGAGGGGGCAAGCGUUAUUCGGAAUUAUUGGGCGUAAAGGGCGCGUAGGCGGUCUGGCAAGUGGAAGGUGAAAUCCCUCGGCUCAACUGAGGAACUGCCUUCCAUACUGCUGGACUUGAGUCCGGGAGAGGUGAGUGGAAUUCCCAGUGUAGCGGUGAAAUGCGUAGAUAUUGGGAGGAACACCAGUGGCGAAGGCGGCUCACUGGACCGGAACUUACGCUGAGGCGCGAAAGCGUGGGGAGCAAACAGG
rnacentral:rRNA from 1 species